GUGAGGAAUAUUGCGCAAUGGAGGCAACUCUGACGCAGCCAUGCCGCGUGCAGGAAGAAGGCGCUACGCGUUGUAAACUGCUUUUAACCGGGAAGAAACCCCAGGACGUGUCCUGGGUUGACGGUACCGGAGGAAUAAGCACCGGCUAACUUCGUGCCAGCAGCCGCGGUAAUACGAAGGGUGCAAGCGUUAUCCGGAUUCAUUGGGUUUAAAGGGUGCGUAGGCGGAGCGUUAAGUCAGUGGUGAAAUCCUGCAGCUUAACUGUAGACUUGCCAUUGAUACUGGCGCUCUUGAGUGCGCUUGAAGUGGGCGGAAUGUGCCGUGUAGCGGUGAAAUGCUGAGAUAUGGCACAGAACACCAAUUGCGAAGGCAGCUCACUAAGGCGAUACUGACGCUGAGGCACGAAAGCGUGGGGAUCGAACAGGAUUAGAAACCCGGGUAGUCC
rnacentral:rRNA from 1 species